GACGGAGGAUGCAAGCGUUAUCCGGAAUGAUUGGGCGUAAAGCGUCCGCAGGUGGCAGUUCAAGUCUGCUGUCAAAGACCGGGGCUUAACUUCGGAAAGGCAGUGGAAACUGAACAGCUAGAGUAUGGUAGGGGCAACUGGAAUUCUCGGUGUAGCGGUGAAAUGCGUAGAUAUCGAGAGGAACACCUGCGGCGAAGGCGGGUUGCUGGCUGAUACUGACGCUGAGGCGCGAAAGCCAGGGGAGCGAACGGG
rnacentral:rRNA from 1 species